GAGCACAAGGCUGAGAAACAAGUUGAAAGAGAGGCUGCAUAGAGGCUAAAAGAAGUUAAGUUGGAAGCUAGAGACUUAAACUUCACCAUUCUUUGAAGCCAACAUAAAUUUUCUUGAGUGAGGCCUUUUAUUGAUAGCAUGUCAUGUGCAAAUCUUGAGAGUAUUAGGAGCGACUAUGGGCUGUUCUCAUCUUUGGCUAGCAUUAGGACCUCAUUUGAGCUAGCCUCUAGGAUGGUUGUUGGGUUUGAGAGUUUAAAUUCUUUUGACCUUGGAAAUGGGAGAGAUUGAGUGAAAGAAAAUGAACCAAAAAGAUUGCUUAAAGUAAAGAAAUCCCUAGGGACAAAGAAAGUUAGAAAAGAAAAAACUCUAAAUUAUCAAUAGAGCCCCUUUCAAAAACAAAAGAAGGAAAAAAAAAGAAACAAUAAAUGAGUGGGGAAAAGAAAAACAAAGAGUUGAGCUAAGUAAAAAUCAAAAAGAUUGUCCCUAGUUGGUUGAAUCCAAAUAGAGAAAAGAGAGUGUUCAUUGGGUGAGAGAUGAAAAUGAGUGUGGUUUUGGGUUUUGGGAUGAUGAAAAGAAUGGUAGAACUUGAAAUCAUUUAGAAAAGGGGUAGAAUGAUGAGAACAAAUCAUGUUAUUGCUCCUAUUCUUGAGUGUGAGUCACUAUAAACAAAUGCAUUUGAAACCUAUUUUUCUUCACAUUAGAUCAUCUUCUCUCACCAAGCCAAAUAAUUGAGAUCAAAUAUCCAUUUGCAAGAAUUCACCUUGUGUGUGUGUUUGAAUAAAUGUAAGGGUUGGCUAAGGAACUUGUUGGUUGAAUGGCUAUUCAACUUGUGUAAAGAUAACAGAGUAUUGAUAGG
rnacentral:lncRNA from 1 species